AUUGAACGCUGGCGGCAUGCCUUACACAUGCAAGUCGAACGGUAACAGGUCUUCGGAUGCUGACGAGUGGCGAACGGGUGAGUAAUACAUCGGAACGUGCCUAGUAGUGGGGGAUAACUACUCGAAAGAGUGGCUAAUACCGCAUGAGAUCUACGGAUGAAAGCAGGGGAUCGCAAGACCUUGUGCUACUAGAGCGGCCGAUGGCAGAUUAGGUAGUUGGUGGGAUAAAAGCUUACCAAGCCGACGAUCUGUAGCUGGUCUGAGAGGACGAUAGUCCAUACUGGGCCUGAGAAACGGCCCAGACUCCUACGGGAGGCAGGAGUGGGGAAUUUUGGACACUGGGCGCAAGCCUGAUCCAGCAAUGCCUCGUGCAGGAUGAAGGCCUUCGGGUUGUAAACUGCUUUUGUACGGAACGAAAAGCCCUGGGUUAAUACCCUGGGGUCAUGACGGUACCGUAAGAAUAAGCACCGGCUAACUACGUGCCAGCCGCCGCGGUAAUAC
rnacentral:rRNA from 1 species